rnacentral:rRNA from 1 species
UACGGGGGGGGCAAGCGUUGUUCGGAAUUACUGGGCGUAAAGGGCGCGUAGGCGGUUCGAUAAGUCAGCUGUGAAAACCAUGGGCUUAACUCAUGGCCUGCAGUUGAGACUGUCGGGCUGGAGUGUGGGAGAGGAGAGUGGAAUUCCUGGUGUAGCGGUGAAAUGCGUAGAUAUCAGGAGGAACACCGGUGGCGAAGGCGGCUCUCUGGACCACAAACUGACGCUGAGGUGACGAAAGCGUGGGGGAGCAAACAGG